rnacentral:rRNA from 1 species
AUUGAACGCUGGCGGCAUGCUUUACACAUGCAAGUCGGACGGCAGCACAGAGAAGCUUGCUUCUUGGGUGGCGAGUGGCGAACGGGUGAGUAACAUAUCGGAACGUACCGAGCAGUGGGGGAUAACUAAUCGAAAGAUUAGCUAAUACCGCAUAUCUUCUGAGGAAGAAAGCAGGGGACCAUUUGGCCUUGCGCUGUUUGAGCGGCCGAUAUCUGAUUAGCUAGUUGGUGGGGUAAAGGCCUACCAAGGCGACGAUCAGUAGCGGGUCUGAGAGGAUGAUCCGCCACACUGGGACUGAGACACGGCCCAGACUCCUACGGGAAGCAGCAGUGGGGAAUUUUGGACAAUGGGCGCAAGCCUGAUCCAGCCAUGCCGCGUGUCUGAAGAAGGCCUUCGGGUUGUAAAGGACUUUUGUCAGGGAAGAAAAGGGCGGGGUUAAUACCCCUGUCUGAUGACGGUACCUGAAGAAUAAGCACCGGCUAACUACGUG